CGCAUCUGUGCAUGCAGCAUAUCAAUAAGCGGAGGAAAAGAAACUAACAAGGAUUCCCCUAGUAGCGGCGAGUGAAGCGGGAAGAGCUCAAAUUUGAAAUCUUAAAGGGUUUCCCUUUACGAAUUGUAGUUUAAAGAAGUGUUUUCUGUUGAGGUUUUGGUAAAAGUUCUUUGGAAUAGGACAUCAUAGAGGGUGAGAAUCCCGUAUUUGACCUUUACUUUCAACUUUGUGAUACACUUUCAAAGAGUCGGAUUGUUUGGGAAUGCAGUCCAAAAUGGGUGGUAAAUUUCGUCUAAAGCUAAAUAUUGGCGAGAGACCGAUAGCGAACAAGUACCGUGAGGGAAAGAUGAAAAGAACUUUGAAAAGAGAGUUAAACAGUACGUGAAAUUGUCAAAAGGGAAGCGUUUGACACCAGUGUUGUUUUUCUGAAAAUCAAUUAAAGAACUGUUUAUGCUAAGCUGUUUAGACUUUAUCAGCUAACUGUUUAGUUUUGAGCUUUUCUUUAAUGCACUUUUCAGUUAACAAGUCAACAUCAAUUUCUUUUGCUGUAAAAAAGCUUGAGGAAGGUGGCUUGAGAUUCGUCUUAAGUGUUUAUAGCCUCUUGCCUAUGCAGUCGGAGAGAUUGAGGUCUGCAGCGUAGAUCCUUCGGGGCUAAAUGCAUUUGUGCUAAGUUAUAGCAUUUUAUAGACAACUUGUUGACUAUGAUUUGUCUUGUAGCUUACUCGCUUAUGUUAUUUUACCUACGCUUAGGAUGUUGAGUCAUCACACAUCUCU
rnacentral:rRNA from 1 species